CCUACGGGAGGCAGCAGUGGGGAAUUUUGGACAAUGGGCGCAAGCCUGAUCCAGCAAUGCCGCGUGAGUGAAGAAGGCCUUCGGGUUGUAAAGCUCUUUUGUCAGGGAAGAAACGGUGAAGGCUAAUAUCCUUUGCUAAUGACGGUACCUGAAGAAUAAGCACCGGCUAACUACGUGCCAGCAGCCGCGGUAAUACGUAGGGUGCAAGCGUUAAUCGGAAUUACUGGGCGUAAAGCGUGCGCAGGCGGUUUUGUAAGUUUGUCGUGAAAUCCCCGGGCUCAACCUGGGAAUGGCGAUGAAGACUGCAAGGCUAGAAUCUGGCAGAGGGGGGUAGAAUUCCACGUGUAGCAGUGAAAUGCGUAGAGAUGUGGAGGAACACCGAUGGCGAAGGCAGCCCCCUGGGUCAAGAUUGACGCUCAUGCACGAAAGCGUGGGGAGCAAACAGGAUUAGAUACCCUGGUAGUCCACGCCCUAAACGAUGUCUACUAGUUGUCGGGUUUUAAUUAACUUGGUAACGCAGCUAACGCGUGAAGUAGACCGCCUGGGGAGGUACGGUCGCAGAUAAACUACAANAGAUAGAGCGNGAGAGNGCGACGACGACGACGAGGGAGGAGG
rnacentral:rRNA from 1 species